AUAUGUAGGGGAAUAAGGAGCUUCGUCGAAACUGAAAAGAGCAGCAAGGAAAAUUGCACAAACAUGCGGGUCUCUCUCACACAGACAAAACCCUUUUGACGAUGAUCCCUUUGCCUCCCCUAAACUCACUGUCUCGUCAAUUUCACCCAUAAAUCCUCCUCUAAACCCAGGGACCUCUGCUUCUGCCACCCAACCCCUUUCUUCAACCACUGUUUCCAAGUUGGCCGGUCAAAUUGCACACACUGGUUUAUUUUGUGGUGAAAGGAAGGUGAGGCGGGGACGGGGUGCUCUGCUAAAAUCUCAUCUAAAUUAAUGGCCCUAAGCUCAUCCCAAAAUGCAUCAUCAAGGUUAAUCUCGGACAUUCCUACAUCACCAGAAGAAACGUGAGAUUUUACACAAAAGGACUAGCGUUGCAGCAAAUCAGAAAUCGGCAGCCUUCCGGAGCUUGGCACGCAUUCCAAGAACAAUUGCAAACA